CACGUAGGGCGCAAGCGUUGUCCGGAUUUAUUGGGCGUAAAGAGCUCGUAGGCGGCUUGUCGCGUCGUUCGUGAAAACCCGGGGCUCAACUCCGGGCUUGCGGGCGAUACGGGCAGGCUAGAGUUCGGUAGGGGAGACUGGAAUUCCUGGUGUAGCGGUGAAAUGCGCAGAUAUCAGGAGGAACACCGGUGGCGAAGGCGGGUCUCUGGGCCGAUACUGACGUGAGGAGCGAAAGCGUGGGGAGCGAACAGG
rnacentral:rRNA from 1 species